rnacentral:rRNA from 1 species
AUGAACGCUGGCGGCGUGCCUAAUACCUGCAAGUCGAGCGAACGGACGAGAAGCUUGCUUCUCUGAUGUUAGCGGCGGACGGGUGAGUAACACGUGGAUAACCUACCUAUAAGACUGGGAUAACUUCGGGAAACCGGAGCUAAUACCGGAUAAUAUUUUGAACCGCAUGGUUCAGAAGUGAAAGACGGUCUUGCUGUCACUUAUAGCUGGAUCCGCGCUGCAUUAGCUAGUUGGUAAGGUAACGGCUUACCAAGGCAACGAUGCAUAGCCGACCUGAGAGGGUGAUCGGCCACACUGGAACUGAGACACGGUCCAGACUCCUACGGGAGGCAGCAGUAGGGAAUCUUCCGCAAUGGGCGAAAGCCUGACGGAGCAACGCCGCGUGAGUGAUGAAGGUCUUCGGAUCGUAAAACUCUGUUAUUAGGGAAGAACAUAUGUGUAAGUAACUGUGCACAUCUUGACGGUACCUAAUCAGAAAGCCACGGCUAACUACGUG